rnacentral:rRNA from 1 species
AUUGAACGCUGGCGGCAGGCUUAACACAUGCAAGUCGAGCGGGGGAAGGUAGCUUGCUACUGGACCUAGCGGCGGACGGGUGAGUAAUGCUUAGGAAUCUGCCUAUUAGUGGGGGACAACAUCUCGAAAGGGAUGCUAAUACCGCAUACGUCCUACGGGAGAAAGCAGGGGAUCUUCGGACCUUGCGCUAAUAGAUGAGCCUAAGUCGGAUUAGCUAGUUGGUGGGGUAAAGGCCUACCAAGGCGACGAUCUGUAGCGGGUCUGAGAGGAUGAUCCGCCACACUGGGACUGAGACACGGUCCAGACUCCUACGGGAGGCAGCAGUGGGAAAUAUUGCACAAUGGGCGCAAGCCUGAUGCAGCCAUGCCGCGUGUAUGAAGAAGGCCUUCGGGUUGUAAAGUACUUUCAGCGGGGAGGAAGGCGACGCGGUUAAUAACCGCGUCGAUUGACGUUACCCGCAGAAGAAGCACCGGCUAACUCCGUGCCAGCAGCCGCGGUAA